GUCUCCUACGAUUCUUCGAUAAUCCACCUGCUGUCUCUCCCUCGCUGCAUCUGCACCAAAGUGCUCAUAACCAUACCCCUCCAUCGUCCGUCCAAGACCAGAUAUGGAGCUGCAUUGGUGUUCCCACACAGAGG